GUGAGGAAUAUUGCGCAAUGGAGGCAACUCUGACGCAGCCAUGCCGCGUGCAGGAAGAAGGCGCUACGCGUUGUAAACUGCUUUUAACCGGGAAGAAACCCCAGGACGUGUCCUGGGUUGACGGUACCGGAGGAAUAAGCACCGGCUAACUUCGUGCCAGCAGCCGCGGUAAUACGAAGGGUGCAAGCGUUAUCCGGAUUCAUUGGGUUUAAAGGGUGCGUAGGCGGAGCGUUAAGUCAGUGGUGAAAUCCUGCAGCUUAACUGUAGACUUGCCAUUGAUACUGGCGCUCUUGAGUGCGCUUGAAGUGGGCGGAAUGUGCCGUGUAGCGGUGAAAUGCUUAGAUAUGGCACAGAACACCAAUUGCGAAGGCAGCUCACUAAGGCGAUACUGACGCUGAGGUGCGAAAGCAUGGGGAGCAAACAGGAUUAGAUACCCUAGUAGUCC
rnacentral:rRNA from 1 species